AACGCACAUUGCGCCCGCCAGUAUUCUGGCGGGCAUGCCUGUUCGAGCGUCAUUUCAACCAUCAAGCCCCGGGCUUGUGUUGGGGACCUGCGGCUGCCGCAGGCCCUGAAAACCAGUGGCGGGCUCGCUAGUCACUCCGAGCGUAGUAGUUUACACCUCGCUCAGGGCGUGCUGCGGGUUCCGGCCGUUAAAACCCCCUAUACUCAAGGUUGACCUCGGAUCAGGUAGGAAGACCCGCUGAACUUAA
rnacentral:misc_RNA from 1 species